UUUUUGACUGGGAGCGAUGCAUUUAUUCAGAGGGCAACAGGUGUAAUUUCUGGUACAAUGCCAUUUUACGGCAAAAGAUGGCAGUAGUGGUGCAUGAGCGAGAGAUUGACUUCCAAGCCUUACGAGGCUUCAAACGUUAUCACCUGCCCUAUCAAACCGAGUCGCGAGGAUGGAGAAGUUUUUCUGCUUUAUCGACUCUAGCUGCCUUAAUUUGAGAGUGGCCGGACAGGAAGACGGUGUGGGGCUGACUGCAUAGUUGUACAUCGGUCUCUCGCGCUCUAUUUCUGCUCCCCCUGAUUUUAGAAUAAAGACGCUCUGUGAGUCUGGGCAGCCUGUGAAAGCUGAGUGAGGUUGCACGGCAGCUUUCCAGCCUCCCACAAGGCGUGGCUUAGCUGUUUGAUAGGGUGACGUUUUUUCUCUGAACAUCUCAUUCCUGUAAGCUGAGCACUGAGAGUUCACAAGAACUCUGCGCUCAUCACAACUUAUUCUGCAAAACCAUGAAGACGGUGACCAUUGAGUACUGUAAAGACUGAAGUUAUGCGUACCGCUACCAGGAACUAGCCGGCGUUCUCCGGCAGAUUCCUGGAGUGAAGGUAAAAGGAGUCACCGGGAGGACAGAUAGCUUUGAGGUAUACCUGGAGGAUGAGCUUCUCUACUCAAAGCUAGAGACGAAGUCGUUUCCAGAUCCUGAGCAGAUGGCGGACAAGGUGAUGGAGAAGCUUCCUGAUGAAAACGACAAGAAGAAAUCCAAGAGACAGACAUGCUCUGUCCUGUAAAAGGUGGAGAAACAAACAAUUAUAUUCACACUGACGAAAAAACAACAAAAACAUACACCUGUUACGCCCCUCCGGAGUAUGAAAAUUAGACUAAGGAUUUUAAUAAGUGGGCGCAAAAUUUGUGUGUACCAAAACGAAAAGAUCUGAUAUGGCUCUGUCGCGGCUGUGAAUAUAAACAAUACGUUUGUGAGAGGGGCUCUCUGGAUCCAGGCGGCGAUCGACGCCUCUUUUUAUGAAUGCACACACCUAAAACUCAAGUGGUGUGUGCACGAUGCAAGUCGAGAAGCUUCUCGGCCGCCUGGAGCCCGACAGUCUGCUUCAGUCUCAUCAAAGUUAGGAGAAACGGAGGGAGGGGGUGAAAAACAGAUGCUCCUAAUGAAGAUUUGUAUAUUUGGGGAUUUCUUUGUUUAUACUACUGAACAGAAUCUACGAGUCUCUGUGGGAGUUUUUAAUCGCUCCUUAGAGUCUACUACGCCCCAGACUCUCAGCAACAUUCACUUAAUCUUUGCAAAAUGUAUUUGAUGUUUUUAUGAUCUAAAAUAUCUCAUUAAUAUCCGUUUUCCUCUGUCAAAGCAUAAUUACAGAGGAGCAAUAAAAACAUAAAAUCUGG